rnacentral:lncRNA from 1 species
AGCUUUGACACUUGUAGAUCUGGAAUGUGGAAGUGCCCCAGAAUGAUCAUGAUUUAACGUUUGAGAUAAACUUUUGAUGAAAUUUCAGAUCAAUUCCUACGUCCUUUGGAAGAUACGUUUUAUCAUGACUUUAUAAUUCAGAAGAGAAACUUUAAUUUCUGUAGAAAAUUAUAAAAGAUGGUGAGACUAAGUUUCUCUCUAUAUAUAAAAUGAGAGGAUUGGAAGAUUGAGAUGAAGUCAUCUCCUAAGGGACCUACAUUUAAAAGCAAUCAGCUUCAUGGACCUGAAAGGACCUUCAAGGGCUUGACUGGCAAAACAUGUCUUGGAAAGAGGAUGAAUUCACCCAAGACCAAGAGAGGCUGAGGAAAGGAGGAAUCUGGUUGAUGGCAGGGAGUUAAGAAUCCAAGAGACGGGAACUGGAGCCAGAGUAGACCAGAAGCCAGAGAUUCAUUGCCCUCCAUCCUCAACUACAUGCUGAAAUACUAGAGGGACUCUUGUUUCUCACUCUCCAAGGGCUGUGAGUUCAAGCUAAUUGUAUUUAACUUCACAAGAAUUAGUCUUUUUUUCCAUCUUAGCAACUCCUUGCUUUUUUCCUUCAUUAGAUUAUCACUUGCAUUGCUUCGCGUUUUUCUUCUUUGGCAUUUUUACUUGUUACUGUCUGUCUUUCUUACUAAAAUAUAAACUCCAUGGAGGCGGGGAACA